rnacentral:rRNA from 1 species
AACGAACGCUGGCGGCAGGCUUAACACAUGCAAGUCGAGCGCCCCGCAAGGGGAGCGGCAGACGGGUGAGUAACGCGUGGGAAUCUACCCAUCUCUACGGAAUAACGCAUGGAAACGUGUGCUAAUACCGUAUACGUCCUUCGGGGGAAAGAUUUAUCGGAGAGGGAUGAGCCCGCGUUGGAUUAGCUAGUGGGUGGGGUAAAGGCCUACCAAGGCGACGAUCCAUAGCUGGGUUGAGAGGAUGAUCAGCCACACUGGGACUGAGACACGGACCAGACUCCUACGGGAGGCAGCAGUGGGGAAUAUUGGACAAUGGGCGCAAGCCUGAUCCAGCCAUGCCGCGUGAGUGAUGAAGGCCCUAGGGUUGUAAAGCUCUUUCACCGGUGAAGAUAAUGACGGUAACCGGAGAAGAAGCCCCGGCUAACUUCGUGCCAGCAGCCGCCGUAAAAC